CACUUUAUGGUGGAACAUUACCUAGAAGUGUUAGCUUACACUCCUCCCCAUAAAGGGGGUGUCUUUCACAUGAUACCUAAUAUGAAUUUGGACGUCCCUGCUCUCGACAGAAGGCUCUGUUAACGGUUAAAAAAAACCCUAACAGGCAUUGGGGGUGAACUUGACCUCCUUUACUCACACUGCUGCUCUCACUGUUAGAGUUCAGAUUUAAUUAAGCCUUCAUAAUAACUGUAAGUGUGUAAAAAGAUCCUUCCACAUUGGCUUCAGUUUCAACCUGGCUGUCAGAAUUUAUUUAUCUGACAGCUUCAAGUGAGUUAAGCCAGUUUGUCUUACAUAUAUUCUCCGUUUGUCCGUCUGCCCAAGCGUAACCUUUGUCCUGCCCUCGCUUGUGUGAUGCAAUUCCUUGUGUGUCAUGAGAAACGUGAUUCUCUUUCGUGUGCUGGUUUGUCCUGUGGGGCCAUUUAAAAGCUUGCAACCCCUCAGUAGAUCGUUUUUCAAGAGCCAGUGUUCAAAAUAGCCAUCACAGAUACGUCACUCCUAAGGAAGUGCAAGCCAGACACUGGAUUAAUUUUCAAACCAUGGAAACAUGGAGCGGAGCCGAGGGGAAGAUAUGACAAUGAUGGAUAAGGUGCCUUGGGGAGGACUGUUGCAAGUCAAUCAGCUGGGGAGGCGUCUUGCUAUAUAGUGCUAGUCAGUCUGAGCUUCAAUCCAGUGAGAAAUAAUGUAUGGGCUUCUGUGUGAGAGUCAUGACUUCAUCAAGGAGUCGUACGGAGACGAUGUGUGGAAGCUGGUCAGAGAGAGCAGAUGUCAGGUCUAUAUUGAGAGUUUUAUUCCCUGGAUUGCAAAGGCAGCAUGUGGCGUGACAGGAACACCCCAUAAGGAGCUGAUGAACUCCUGGGGUGUCUGCUUCCUCGGUUCUGUUGAGAAAUAUGGUUAUGACAGGAUCCUCGAGGGCACAUUAUAAAGGGUUUCCAAAACCAGUGUCUCUCCAUCCAAGUGCUGUGCCGACACAUAAGCGACUUUGUCAAUGGCCUUGAUAACUUUCACGAAUACCUGCUACCCCAAGGCGCAGCCUCUGACCUUCUUCUGCCAGGAGGAGGAGGACUGACCGCAGCGUUGGACUGGGGCAGACAGGAGACAUAACAACAGACAUAAAAGCUGAAAUAGAGACAAGGAAAAGCUGCGUGGUUAAUCUCUUUAGAAAGACAUUAGAUUUUCUUUGUCUGUCCCCUGCAGGAGUAAGCGAUAGGGCUGCCUGCACUUUGCUAUGCGUCAGCUGAGGCAGAUGUGGAAACAUUUUUAUGACACCUACAUCCAUGUGGAGGUGCUCAGUGAGCAGAUGAUUGGGGUCUACUCCCAUGUCACCAUGAGGUGUGGGAACAGAGAAAAACAUAGAAGAUUGAGUGGUGGGAAGAACUCCUUAUUUUCAUUUAUUGCUACUCAAUACUUUUUUUUCUGCAUUUAUUUUUGAAGCAACAAUUAAGAUAUAACAUAAAAACAUGAAAUCAGUGAUUACUAAAUCCUUUCGGCUCACGCCCCGCUGCCUUUUUCUAAAGUUAAGAUCUUCAUGCUUCUUUCAACAUAGGUUUUUUAAAACUUAACUUUAAACUUUUAAAAGAAGCAUUCAUCUGCAUCACUACACAGGCUGAACUUUGAUAACUCAGCCUACCGGCACAUCAUGAAAGAGGAUGAGGAAAAGCAGAAAAUUUUUCCCAUUACCUCUGACUUCUUCUUUGAGGUCUUCCCCUUUAACAGACAGGACACGGUGGUGCAAAAUGUUGGCUCGAGCCUGGCUGCAGUCUUCCCUGAUCUGGAUGGAAAGAAGUUCAAUGACACCUUCUUGGUGGCUCGCCCCCUUGUGGAGUUCACCCGGAACAUGAUCAUAUCCAAGCAGCCAGCGAAGCGAGAUGACCCAUCAAAACAAGACUGGAAGCUUGUAAACAGUCACAGUGGUGUGUGUCUGAUUUAGAGGACUUGUGGUUUAAUCACAUAUACUGUAGUCAAGCACAAAAUAGUGCCUGGCUAUUUAAAUUUCAUUCUUUUAAAGAAGUGGUCAGUUAAACUGUUAAACUGUCUGUUCUUGUGCAAGGGAAUGAAUAUUUCACCUGGAGUGGAAUCAAAAUUUUUGAGGUCGUGCAGUUGAAGAAAUUCAACUCUUUGAUGUUUUCAUUUGACUGAAUUUAUUUGACCUGAUCCAAGCCCGGCUAAAACACGUUCAUGAGUCCCAGUGGUUCAGCUUGUUUAUCUGCAGAUUCUGACUAUGAAAAUCUCAGCUGCUCUGCUGACGUACAUGUGGAGAUCAUGGCCUACCAGUCUGUCAUCGGAGAUGAUUAUAAAGGUCACGUCCUCUCUGUUAUUUGCAAAAACGUAUGGCGAGACUCGUCGGGUUCUUCAAAAUAUUUAUAUAUAUUUUCAAUACCUCUUUCUUUUCUAUUCAACAUGAAACUGGAGCCAGCAGAAAGUUCCUGAAGUCCAAAGGCAGCCCAGAACAAAAGCUGAGACAGAGUCAGGCGAGCUUUCUCUCAGUUAGCGCUUCCUAUGCCAAGCUGUUGUAUCCAGCUUCACUCUGGACACACAGAUAUAAGGGCGGUAACAGUGCUAAUGCAACGGAGAGCUGGGGUGAUGGGAGCUGCUGCCUCAAACUAAAAGGACAAAUGAGAUACAUGCCAGAGUGGGAGUCCAUCAUCUUCCUGGGAACCCCUGUUGGAGAGCCUCAAUGCGAUGUUUAAGACCGGCUUGUACAUCAGUGACCUGAGGCUGCACGACUCGACCAGAGACCUGGUGCUGGAGGGAACGCAACAGUGAGAGGAGCUAAAGAGAGCUCUCAUACCGGAGCAAAAGCAGUCAAGUAAGCUGGAGGAGAGGAUGAAGUUGCUGGACUAUGAGAUGAAGAAGACUGAAGACCUUCUUUACAGGUGGUACUGUCUUUGUACAACAUGCUGGGAAAGAAACCUUGAAGGUUGUCCGUGAUGUGACCAUCCUCUUCAGUGAUGCAGGGAUUUACUCGCAUUUGCAGCCACAUCACACUGAGGCAGG